UACUAGAGGACGAAGAAAAAUCUUCUACCCUUUUGAAUUUUCUGUGUUCUUAACAAGUGAAAUGACAAUGGAUAAGAAACCAAAACAAGAUUUCUUGGAAGCUGUUUUAUGUUUUGAUUGGCUCGACAUAAUUUGUAUUUGAAGAUCAACUUCUGCAGAAGAAUUUUUCACACUUCGGAUUACAACUAUGGAGACUGUUACCAGAAGAUUCAUGCAAAGGACAUUGAAUGAUGAGAUAUAGAGUACUGGCUGCCCAACAAUUUUGCCACUAUUUCUUCUGAAAUGAGUAGCACAUAAACAUUGAUUCAUGGUUAGUUCCCUGAACUAAAAUUCUAACUAAUCGGAAAGUGGUGAACAAAUGCAAAG
rnacentral:misc_RNA from 1 species